CGCUGGCGGCGUGCCUAACACAUGCAAGUCGUGCGACGAAAGGGAGCAAUCCUGAGUAAAGCGGCGAACGGGUGAGUAACACGUGGUUAACCUGCCUGGAUGUGGGGGAUACCCCGGGGAAACUCGGGACAAUACCGCAUGAUGUCUCUCGGGCGUCGGCCCGGGAGGGCAAAGCCGGGGACCGCAAGGCCUGGCGCAUCCGGAGGGGACCGCGGCCGAUUAGCUAGUUGGCGGGUAAUGGCCCACCAAAGGCGACGAUCGGUAGCCGGCCUGAGAGGGUGAUCGGCCACACCGGAACUGAGACACGGUCCGGACUCCUACGGGAGGCAGCAGUGGGGAAUUUUGCGCAAUGGGCGAAAGCCUGACGCAGCAACGCCGCGUGGAGGAUGAAGGUGCUCUGCAUUGUAAACUCCUGUCGGCCGGGAAGAAUCGGCGGGGUGCUAAUCAGCCCCGUCUUGACUGUACCGGCAAAGGAAGCCCCGGCUAACUCCGUG
rnacentral:rRNA from 1 species